UGGUGGAGUGAUUUGUCUGGUUAAUUCCAAUAACGAACGAGACUCUGUCCUGCUAACUAGGUUGUGUUUUCUCGGGUUGGUGUUUCUGGUGUUCCUUCUCGGGGCGCCGGCCCAAUCCACUUGUGAACACAACACUCUUCUUAGAGGGACUGGCGGCUGUUAGCCGCACGAGAUAGAGCAAUAACA
rnacentral:rRNA from 1 species